UAAUACGUAGGGUGCAAGCGUUAAUCGGAAUUACUGGGCGUAAAGCGUGCGCAGGCGGUUGUGCAAGACAGAUGUGAAAUCCCCGGGCUUAACCUGGGAACUGCAUUUGUGACUGCACGGCUGGAGUGCGGCAGAGGGGGAUGGAAUUCCGCGUGUAGCAGUGAAAUGCGUAGAUAUGCUGAGGAACACCGAUGGCGAAGGCAAUCCCCUGGGCCUGCACUGACGCUCAUGCACGAAAGCGUGGGGAGCAAACAGGAUUAGAUACCCUGGUAGUCCACGCCCUAAACGAUGUCAACUGGUUGUUGGGGAUUCAUUUCCUCAGUAACGAAGCUAACGCGUGAAGUUGACCGCUUGGGGAGUACGGCCGCAAGGUUG
rnacentral:rRNA from 1 species